UACGUAGGGCGCAAGCGUUGUCCGGAAUUAUUGGGCGUAAAGAGCUCGUAGGCGGCCAGUUGCGUCCGCUGUGAAAUCCCGGGGCUUAACCCCGGGCGUGCAGUGGAUACGGGCUGGCUAGAGGCAGGCAGGGGAGAACGGAAUUCCCGGUGUAGCGGUGAAAUGCGCAGAUAUCAGGAGGAACACCGAUGGCGAAGGCAGGUCACUGGGCCGCAACUGACGCUGAGGAGCGAAAGCAUGGGGAGCGAACAGG
rnacentral:rRNA from 1 species